rnacentral:rRNA from 1 species
CGGCGAGUGAAGAGGGAAGAGCCCAAGAUUGAAAGCUGGCGCCUUCGGCGUCCGCAUUGUAAUCUCAAGAAGUGUUUUCCGCUUCGGACCAUGCCUAAGUCCCUUGGAAAAGGGCAUCAUAGAGGGUGAUAAUCCCGUACAUGGCAUGGAGCGCCCGAAGCUUUGUGAUACGCUUUCUAAGAGUCGAGUUGUUUGGGAAUGCAGCUCAAAAUGGGUGGUAAAUGCCAUCUAAGGCUAAAUAUUGGGGAGAGACCGAUAGCGAACAAGUACAGUGAUGGAAAGAUGAAAAGAACUUUGAAAAGAGAGUUAAACAGUACGUGAAAUUGCCAAAAGGGAAGGGUAGGAGGUCAGAGAUGCGUCUUGGGAUUCAGCCUUGCUUCUGCUUGGUGUUUUUCCCAGGUUUGCAGGCCAACGUCGGUUUUGGGCACUGGAGAAGGGUGGAAGGAACGUGGCACCUCUCGGGGUGUGUUAUAGCCUUCUACUGGAUACAGCGACCGGGACCGAGGACAGCAGCGUACUCGCAAGAGCGGGCCUUUUUGGCACCUUUACGCUUAGGACGUUGGCAUAAUGGCCCUCUACCACCCG